rnacentral:RNase_P_RNA from 1 species
GGAGUCGGCCGGGCAGUCGCUGUCCGAUCCAGUGGAUCGGGGGGAGGAAAGUCCGGGCUCCGCAGGGCAGGGUGCCAGGUAACGCCUGGGGGGCGCGAGCCUACGGAAAGUGCCACAGAAAACAGACCGCCAACCCCGCGUUAGCGGGCGGCAAGGGUGAAAAGGUGCGGUAAGAGCGCACCGCGCCCGUGGCAACACGUGGCGGCACGGUAAACCCCACCCGGAGCAAGACCAAAUAGGGGAACGCGCGGCCUCGGUCGCGGCAUGCGGCCCGCAUGUGUUCCCGGGUAGGUCGCUUGAGGCGCACGGUGACGUGCGUCCCAGACGAAUGACUGUCCCAGACAGAACCCGGCUUACAGGCUGACUCCCACC